GUAAGGUAUUAAUUUUUAGUUACAAAAGAGGCAUAAACCCUAGUGAUAAUUUCGCCUCAUUUUCACAUUUAACAGUUCAUAUAUAUAAUAUUUACAUUUUAUAUUCCCAGUUGUAUUAUGAAUAUAUUAUGAGGUGCAGAACUGAAAAUUAAAUUUUUCCUAGCAAUGUAGUUUAGAUACAAACUUAUUUACGUAUUAAUUUUAAUUUCUUUUUUUCCUCAUGAUGAGAACAAGUAUUUAUAAUUCACCUUAAUUCCUCUCAUGUACCUCUUAUUGGGCAGGAUAUUAUUAUUGUUUUAAUUACAAUGAAACAUAAUUCCUCAUAUUGACUUCAUUUUAUUUAUACAUUUGACAAUUCACUUAUGCUAAUUACAAUUUUAUAUUUCCAAUUGUAUUACUAAUGUAUCAUGAAUUCUAUUUGUAAUUGGCAUAUAAGCCCUAACUAUCUAU
rnacentral:misc_RNA from 1 species